CUCCCAAACCCCUGUGAACAUACCUUAAUGUUGCCUCGGCGGAUCAGCCCGCGCCCCGUAAAACGGGACGGCCCGCCAGAGGACCCAAACUCUAAUGUUUCUUAUUGUAACUUCUGAGUAAAACAAACAAAUAAAUCAAAACUUUCAACAACGGAUCUCUUGGUUCUGGCAUCGAUGAAGAACGCAGCAAAAUGCGAUAAGUAAUGUGAAUUGCAGAAUUCAGUGAAUCAUCGAAUCUUUGAACGCACAUUGCGCCCGCUGGUAUUCCGGCGGGCAUGCCUGUUCGAGCGUCAUUUCAACCCUCAAGCCCCCGGGUUUGGUGUUGGGGAUCGGCUCUGCCUUCUGGCGGUGCCGCCCCCGAAAUACAUUGGCGGUCUCGCUGCAGCCUCCAUUGCGUAGUAGCUAACACCUCGCAACUGGAACGCGGCGCGGCCAUGCCGUAAAACCCCAACUUCUGAAUGUUGACCUCGG
rnacentral:rRNA from 1 species